rnacentral:rRNA from 1 species
UGAGGAACAUGACCUUCGGCGGGGGAUAGCCGGCCCAACGGCCGGGUAAUACCGCGUACGACCACUUUGGGACAUCCCUAGGUGGUGAAAGCAGCAAUGCGCCGAUGGAGUGCCUCGCGGCCUAUCAGCUAGUUGGUGAGGUAACGGCUCACCAAGGCGACGACGGGUAGCUGGUCUGAGAGGAUGGCCAGCCACAUUGGGACUGAGACACGGCCCAGACCUCCGUACGGGAGGNAGCG